GAUGAACGCUGGCGGCGUGCUUAACACAUGCAAGUCGAACGUGAGAAUAGCAAUAUUUGAAAGUGGCAAACGGGUGAGUAACACGUGGGAACCUGCCUCGAAGUGGGGGAUAACGAUUGGAAACGGUCGCUAAUACCGCACGGUUCUGCUCUGAUGGGAAUGGAGCAGAUAAAGAUUUAUCGCUUUGAGAGGGGCCCGCGGCCGAUUAGCUAGUUGGUAAGGUAAAGGCUUACCAAGGCGAUUAUCGGUAGCUGGUCUGAGAGGACGACCAGCCACACUGGAACUGAGACACGGUCCAGACUCCUACGGGAGGCAGCAGUGGGGAAUAUUGGACAAUGGGGGCAACCCUGAUCCAGCCAUGCCGCGUGGGUGAAGAAGGCCUUCGGUUGUAAGACCUUUGUGUCGGAGAAAGUACGUCGGUGACAUCCGGCGACUGCUGACGGUACCGCCAAGAAUAAGACACCGGCUAACUUCGUGCCAGCAGCCGCGG
rnacentral:rRNA from 1 species